UGGGGAAUUUUGGACAAUGGGGGAAACCCUGAUCCAGCCAUCCCGCGUGUGCGAUGAAGGCCUUCGGGUUGUAAAGCACUUUUGGCAGGAAAGAAACGUCCCGGGAUAAUACCCCGGGAAACUGACGGUACCUGCAGAAUAAGCACCGGCUAACUACGUGCCAGCAGCCGCGGUAAUACGUAGGGUGCAAGCGUUAAUCGGAAUUACUGGGCGUAAAGCGUGCGCAGGCGGUUCGGAAAGAAAGAUGUGAAAUCCCAGAGCUUAACUUUGGAACUGCAUUUUUAACUACCGAGCUAGAGUGUGUCAGAGGGAGGUGGAAUUCCGCGUGUAGCAGUGAAAUGCGUAGAUAUGCGGAGGAACACCGAUGGCGAAGGCAGCCUCCUGGGAUAACACUGACGCUCAUGCACGAAAGCGUGGGGAGCAAACAGGAUUAGAUACCCUGGUAGUCCACGCCCUAAACGAUGUCAACUAGCUGUUGGGGCCUUCGGGCCUUGGUAGCGCAGCUAACGCG
rnacentral:rRNA from 1 species